GGGGGGGGAGCAAGCGUUGUUCGGAAUCACUGGGCGUAAAGGGCGUGUAGGCGGGGCAGGGCAAGUCGGGACGUGAAAACUCCAGGCUCAACCUGGAGCCUGCGUUCGAAACUACUUGUCUUGAGUACGGGAGAGGAAAGUGGAAUUCCUGGUGUAGCGGUGAAAUGCGUAGAUAUCAGGAGGAACACCGGUGGCGAAGGCGGCUUUCUAGCCCGAUACUGACGCUGAGACACGAAGGCUAGGGGAGCAAACAGGAUUAGAUACCCUGGUAGUCCUAGCGGUAAACGUUGGGCACUAGGUGUUGUCCUUAACCGGGGCAGUGCCGCAGUUAACGCACUAAGUGCCCCGCCUGGGGAGUACGACCGCAAGGUUG
rnacentral:rRNA from 1 species